rnacentral:rRNA from 1 species
ACGAACGCUGGCGGCGUGCUUAACACAUGCAAGUCGAACGCUGAAGCUCAGCUUUUGUUGGGUGGAUGAGUGGCGAACGGGUGAGUAACACGUGAGUAACCUGCCCCCUUCUUUGGGAUAACGCCCGGAAACGGGUGCUAAUACUGGAUAUUCACUGGUCUUCGCAUGGGGGUUGGUGGAAAGGGUUUUUCUGGUGGGGGAUGGGCUCGCGGCCUAUCAGCUUGUUGGUGGGGUGAUGGCCUACCAAGGCUUUGACGGGUAGCCGGCCUGAGAGGGUGACCGGUCACAUUGGGACUGAGAUACGGCCCAGACUCCUACGGGAGGCAGCAGUGGGGAAUAUUGCACAAUGGGCGCAAGCCUGAUGCAGCGACGCCGCGUGAGGGAUGGAGGCCUUCGGGUUGUGAACCUCUUUCGCUCAUGGUCAAGCCGCAACAAUGGUUGUGGUGAGGGUAGUGGGUAAAGAAGCGCCGGCUAACUACGU